UUUUGGAUCUUCAUCUUUAUCCUCAGGGGGGUCAGUUGGGCCCCACCUCCCUGUGGGCACCAGCUACAUCUACCACUUCUCCACCAACUCCAGCACUCGCCUGCAGAGAGCCCCACAGGAGGGAAGUGGCCUUGGCCUUCAAGGGUUGGCCAUCCUUGACGUGCUUGGCCCGUGCCAGGUGGCCUUGGGGGUCAUACGAGUUCCUCAACCGAGCCUGCAGGACUUGAAGCAGAAUGAGAACUCUUCGCGCACUCCAUGCGGAGCAGCAGGCGCUUGGCGGGUUUUGUUGCUGCUGCAGACGCUCAGCACCCACCACCCAGGAGCCGGAACCAGCUGCUGAGACGGCUCACUGCGGGCCCAGUGCUGCUCUGUGGGUGGGGGUGCUGGUGAGGUCCUGGGGCGCCCCAGGAGAGGCCACCCACUCUCGGUGCUCUCUGCUUCAGCUGCGAGACUUCCGGGUAACGUCAGUGCUGGGGUCCCAGGUGGAGGUUCGGAAGGAGUGGCAGAGCUUGAGGUCAGAUGCUGCACUGUGAACCCCACCCCUCUUUUGUGUGGGCUGUGGGCAUCCAAGAUGGAGGGGGUGACCCCCUGCAGCAGAGAGAUGCACCUUGGACUCACAUUCAAGGGGGUUUCGUCUUUGUGCUUUGACUUUGGCAAGCACCGGAGCCCCUGAUGAGGACAGCUGGGAGCUGUCAUGACCUGGGAGCCCUGUGACUCCUGUGACUCCAAGCACAGUCACCUGGUGGGAGAAGCUCACCCCACUUCCCCCAGCAUGCCCCAGCAUGUCCCCAUUCCAUGCCUUUUGCCGCCCACCUUGGGCACCUCCCUGGGGUAGGUGUUCUGGGAGGCUCUGGCUGUCGUGAGGCCGCCUGUCUCCCCCUCCCAGUCUGCCGCAGUGCGGCAGACCCCUGCACUGUCCUAUGAAGUGAGCCCCCCUAUGUGACCCAGCCAAGCCUGGAAUUCCCUGUCUGCCUUGUUUCCCAGGACUUCCUGACAGUGGCCUCGAUUGGCCUCAAAGCUCAGAGCAGCCACCAGCCUAAGGACAACAGGUCUUGCAGAUUCCUCUUCCUUUUUUAUUGCAAAUUCAUUUGUUAAAAAAAAAAAUGAAGCCUUUGUUCAAGGAUACUAGGACGGGGGCUGCUGGCCAGGGGCAGAUGGAUCCCCCUGAAAGGCUCAGGGAGGGUGCCCUCUGUGGGACUAUUGUCCCCCAGCCCCUCAUCAGAAAUGCGAAGUCUGGGGGGCUGGGGCUUGUUGGUUUCUUGAGCCUAGACUGACACAUGCUAUUCUGGGACAGGCGGCAUGAUUAGCAUUUUCUAGACCACACUUGAGCCCAGGGCACUGCCAUAGGAAGGCCCCAGUCUCCAACCAGGGCUGAGAGCACAGGGACCACCCAGCGAGGCAGAAGUGGGGACGUGGUCUGCCUUGCUGGCCGGUAAUCUUGGAGCGUCUCCGUUGUCUUCCUCGCGCCAGGAUGCAGGCUUCACUUCCGCAGCCCCACAUGCCGAACAGAGGAUCCUCCCGCGGGGUGGGGGUGGGGGUGAAGAAUCAGGCUGCAUUCUGGUCCGAGCUCCUCUCCUGACUGCUGUGUGCUCCCGUCUCUGGCUAUGACCCUUCACUUCCUGUCUGAGCAGUGACGGAAUCUCAGGUCGCUUCUGGCCUGGGGGUUCUGAGGCCUCUGAAGCUGGAACUUGGCCUCAACUGUGACCUUGGCAAGUCGCCGUGCUGGUCACUGUGGCCCUCUGAGGGAAGGGGAGCAGAUGCUCAGUCCCUCAGUGGGCUCUGGAGUGGAGGGGCCUUUCCUUCACCCCUUGUGGAUUCCACAUGAAACAAAAGGCCACGGGCACAGUAGAGGAGAGAGGUGUCCCCGGCACCGCAGGAAGAGCAGUGCCACCUCACCUCUGUAGGAGAGGGGAUGUAAAUAAAGGCUCAGGGGAGACCAGUGAGAGAAGUGAUGGUUUGGGACAAAGACUACACGUAGUGCUGACUUGUGUCCUGCCCUGUGACAGGGUUACUCUUCCCUGAUCAGUGACACUCCUGGGCAGGGGCUGAUGACAAGUGAGUUCCACCUGGAGGCUCUGUCUUAGGCAGAGGAGGGAGUCCAGGGUUUCAGGGGCUCCCGGGUCCUUGGGGUGGCACG